UACGAAGGGGGCUAGCGUUGCUCGGAAUCACUGGGCGUAAAGCGCACGUAGGCGGAUUGUUAAGUCAGGGGUGAAAUCCUGGAGCUCAACUCCAGAACUGCCUUUGAUACUGGCGAUCUCGAGUCCGGGAGAGGUGAGUGGAACUGCGAGUGUAGAGGUGAAAUUCUUAGAUAUUCGCAAGAACACCAGUGGCGAAGGCGGCUCACUGGCCCGGUACUGACGCUGAGGUGCGAAAGCGUGGGGAGCAAACAGG
rnacentral:rRNA from 1 species